UUUCAGGUGAUGACUGCAUUUCAAUAGUCAGAAAUUCUUCACGGAUCUGGAUCAGAAACAUCUCUUGUGGUCCUGGCCAUGGCAUAAGCAUUGGAAGCUUGGGAAAAUCAAAGAAAUGGGAGAAAGUGCAAAAUGUAAUUAUUGAUGGAGCUUAUCUUUACAAUACUGAUAAUGGGCUGAGAAUCAAAACAUGGCAGAUAAGUUUCUUGACAACUGCAGCACAUUCUUUUUAUAUGUCACCAAGCAACGUACAAAUUGAUUGACUUGUCUCAAAUUUUCGUUAGGGUGGGAGUGGCUUUGCUUCCAAGAUCACAUUCCAGAAUGUCUUAAUGGAAAAUGUGUCCAAUCCAAUAAUAAUAGAUCAAUACUACUGUGAUUCGCCACAUUCUUGUAGAAAUGAGGUAUAUAUUUUUUGAAGUUUUCACGGGCUCAUUCCGUAAAUUUACCUAUGUAUGGAAUGGUUCAUUUAUUGAUGGUUUGGUUUGAGUUAUUCUACUACAACUCAAAUAUGUUGUAAAAAUGUAAUGUCCUGUAUCAAAUUGCAAACUUCUGCUGUCAGAGUGGAGAAUAUAUCCUUCAUUGAUAUACAAGGAACUUCAUCCACCGAUGAAGCAAUUAAAUUUGCUUGCAGUGAUGCCUCUCCAUGUGAAGGUUUACAUCUAGAAAAUAUUUUUCUUGCAUCAUGCUUUGGAGGAAAUACCAGCUCUUUUUGCUGGCAAGCUCAUGGUUCUGCUCGAGGUUUUUUGUAUCCUCCUACCUGUUUCCCAAGCAGUGAUGAUGAUUUUAUUAGACAUAAUGUCUUGUUAGAGUCAAACGAUGCAAACCCUGCUAUUCAAUUCGUUUGAAUAUAAGGUUUUUUGUACAGAUAGAUUAAAGUAGUUCAUGAAUUCCCCCGUAAUUAUUUUGUAGACUACUGUUUAAGAGGAAGGCAGAUAUGGUGAACGCUUAUGAUCCGUAUAAGAUGUUAAUUUUGUGAUGA